GCGUAAUAGCUCACUGGUCGAGUCGGCCUGCGCGGAAGAUGUAACGGGGCUAAACCAUGCACCGAAGCUGCGGCAGCGACACUAUGUGUUGUUGGGUAGGGGAGCGUUCUGUAAGCCGUUGAAGGUGGCCUGUGAGGGUUGCUGGAGGUAUCAGAAGUGCGAAUGCUGACAUAAGUAACGAUAAUGCGGGUGAAAAACCCGCACGCCGGAAGACCAAGGGUUCCUGUCCAACGUUAAUCGGGGCAGGGUGAGUCGACCCCUAAGGCGAGGCCGAAAGGCGUAGUCGAUGGGAAACAGGUUAAUAUUCCUGUACUUGGUGUUACUGCGAGGGGGGGACGGAGAAGGCUAUGUUAGCCGGGCGACGGUUGUCCCGGUUUAAGCAUGUAGGCGGAGAUUCCAGGUAAAUCCGGAGUCUUGUUAACGCUGAGGUGUGAUGACGAGGCACUACGGUGCUGAAGUAACAAAUGCCCUGCUUCCAGGAAAAGCCUCUAAGCAUCAGGUAACACAAAAUCGUACCCCAAACCGACACAGGUGGUCAGGUAGAG
rnacentral:rRNA from 1 species